rnacentral:lncRNA from 1 species
CUGUGCAGCAGGUCCCCAUCCCCUACAACUGGAGGGCACUGAGCUUGGCCUGUCAGCAUCCAGUCCUCUUCACACUCCUGAACUCAGUAGGGAAUGAGGACAAAUCACACCGCAGGACAACACAACCCACACCAGUCUCCAGCCAAGGAAAGUGCCCAAGCAGAUAAGACGACACACUGUUCUUAGAAUGGAAAUACCGAACUCUAUUUAGUUACCACACCCACAAGUUCUUAAACUGAGGCAGUGUCAGCAAACACUACAACAGCACAACUUUUCUUUCCUGAGAGAAGAAGAAAUCCAGUGGACAGCAGUACCUUUCUUCUUGAGAUAGAGAAUUCCUUUUCGCACUGCUUGCAGUGUGUUGCUUCGUCAUCUUUCAGCCAGGUAUGACCCUAAGAAAUUGCAACAAAAUGCUCACGUUAGAGAUAAGUACAUCCAUAAGGCUCAGAAGCAGUUUACCCACAGUGUUUGUAAUUCUUUUUCCAAAAGCCAUCUUUUUAAAGUAGUGUAAAAUGAGUUCACUGUGGGGAACACUUCACUGGUGUUAAGUGAAAUGCAUGUUUAAGCCAGAACAUCCACAAAAUAAUAGAGUACCUUCAGUGCUUUGUUUACUUCUUUAAUGUCUUCCAUCUUCAACUUAGAUCUGGAGGAAAAAAAGAAGAAAUUAUUCCCUCUGCGUGUUGUGUUCAGUUUUACCUGCCCUUCCCCUGUGCAGCCACUGAAUCUGUUCUUCAGUCUGCUCGCUGUUACCAUUCUGAACCACUCAGUAUCACCAGGAAAUGUUUCUACCUCAGAGUAUGCCCUCUUUUCGAUAUAUUCAGAAGCAAUGUGGAAAAAGCAGAGUUCUACUUUAUGAACUAAGCAUUUACUGUACUGUUUCUUAUCCCUGCCCAUUCACUCACACAAGGAUGGCUGUUCAGCUUCGCCAUGUGCUGUAGCUGCCUCCUAAAACUGUCACAUCUACUUAUUUUACAAGUGGAUGCAAUUUCAACUUCUUUGUAAUUAAUUAGAAACCCUGUCCUCCAAAGUCAUGUCACCCCCAGUUCAACUCCUAGAACUCACUGGCUGAGAUGAAGCCCCAUUUCUUGCAGAGCUUGCUCCUGUUCUUCACAGACUUUCUCUAGCUGCUGCUUCUCAUCUUGCAAUUUUCUCAGCUCCUGUAAAAUCAAACGCAAAAAUCAAGUUUGUGUGCUAAGGGAGAUCUGUGACACAGUCUAUCCAAAAUACCAAAGCAAUUCACAAGCAUAAACUUCUUUACAAAGUUGCCUAUUUCUAAGGGUUCAUUUUUAGCUUUAGGUGGGGGAACCACCCAUGGAUUCUUGCAGAGUGAGAACAAUGAAGUCAUUUAUCCAUAUUUACCAGACAAAAAAGGAAGAUUCUCAGGCUUUAACCAUCUUUGAGCAUAGCCAGAAUGCAGCAGUCCUAUGGCCACAAACGUGUUAAGAAAAGCCCCUCUAUCUCAUUUGUUCUCAGUGCUUGCAGGUAUGUUUCAAGCCAGCUUUAAUUCUGAACACUGGGCAUGUCUGCACCAUGCGUACCUUUUUCAGUCCUUCCAUUUGUUCCAAUUCUGUUUUAAGCAGAGAGGUGGCAUCCUUCUCUCGGUGUAGUUCUCUUUGCAAAGUUUGUCUCUGUUCCUUUUCAGAUUUUAAUUCCUUUUCCAGAGUUGAGCUGUUUAAAAAAUAAUUGAUUCAGAAGAACUCUACAGCAGUAAAACAUCCUAUGGCAUUUAAGGAUAUCAACAAUAUGAGAAGAAAACUUGUCCUAAAGAGGACAAAACCUACACCAGUAUUCUGCCAAAGGAAAGAACAGAGAUGUUACAGCAGCAGACAAAAAAAAACAAAAACAAAACAUGGUAAUAUUUAGAGAUUACAGAAAACAAGCAGUAAAACUGGUGAAUAGCCAGAAUCUCCACAAAUAUGUAUUUGACUACUUGUGUUCCAAUGGCCAUGUCUGAAAUGACACUCUACCCUAAAGUGCAAACAGUGAAAGAAACUUUUUAUGUAUUACAAGCCUAAGAGGAUAAGAACACCAAUCCCCAGUCCCCCUUCAAGAAAUCCCAGUUCCUGUGGAUGACAGUCACUGAUACACUAAGCCUACACGACUGAGCACUAAAAGCACUUCUUAAACAAAUAGUAGAAAUGAAGGAAAAUAAAAAGAAAGGAAAACUGAUGAGAUGAAAUACCAAUGAAGUACCAUUUGCUAUCCAGCUGGGACAUUUGUUGCCGACAAGUGUCAAGUCUGCUGGCGAGCUCUUGCUUCAUCUUGUUGCAUCUUUCUUCUGCAGCUUGCCUUGCCUUUUCUGCAUGCUGCAAUCUGCAAAGUAAAGAACACACAUAUUUGCUGACAACUCACAUUUCCCUCAUCUAUUCACUGCCAUUUUGUUCUUCCACAUUUUUCACGUACAUCUUUACAGAAAGUAGAACUGAAGAUAUCAGCAGAGAAAAGAGAAGUUCUAGAAAGCUGUUUCUGUAAAACUCAGAAGUCAUACCUGCUCUUAAACCAAUGUCAACACAUCUUUUAAACAGUCUGCCUACAUAAGAGCUGUGAUUUUCAGAUGAGUCAACGAUGUGCAUAUCUGCUUGGGCAAAGGGAACAGAUACGCACGAAGUGUGGUAACGGAGAAAGGGAAAAAGAGCAUUAUGUGGCAUGCAUGCCCAAGUACCUUCAGGAGACAUUUGAGAGUGCUGUACUGAGAAAUAGAAAACCAUUUUAUAAUAGUCUCAGUCAGAACCCUUCUGACCAAUGGUAUUGAGCUUCUAAUUAUUACCUCUCUUCCAUUUGUUUCAUAGCAGACAUCAUCUCAUUCGUUUUUCCUUCGAAAGAAGAUAUCGCUUCUGUUUUCUGCUGUAAAGAACACUCUGCAUUCUGCAGGAAUAAAGCAGGCGGAUAUUGCAGACAAUACACUGUAGUCUUCUGAAGGUCAGUCAGUCACUAGAUAAAGGCUGUUCAGUUUGGGACAAAGCGUGCCUAGGUCUAACUGCAGUGUACAAACAAAACCCUGAUAAUGGCAGAGCAGACAUUCCUCAACUGCUCUGUUAAAAGUUCAGAACAAAAAACUUUAUUAUGAUAACAUUUACACAGAGAUCACCUACAAGCCAAAAGUCUUCUUAAGGAGUCUGAAGAAGGGAACUGUCACAUUAUAUUUCAACAUUAUCAAUUACGUUACUAUUGUGAUUUGAAUGCAAAAACUGGACUUAAAGGGCAUUGUGUAGCACGGAAAUAAAAAACACUGCCAAAAACCACCAACAAAAAAACGUGGCUUUCUAUUGGUUUAGGGAAGCUUGCUGGUUUUUUUGGUAAGCAACGUUAAAUGCAGUGCAACCGAGAGGCAAAACAACACAAAGGGAAGAAGCAGCAGGGCAGUUCUGGGCUGCAGGAAGCAACUGUGUUUUUUAAAGACUGCUCUUUUGGUGGUUAGAACGAAGACCCUCAAAAAUCAGCUUCCCACACUGCCAGAGCUCUGUGUUUCUCCAUAACUCACUCAGCACUUCCUGGAUGAUCCUACAGCACAUUGCUCAGCAUACUCAAGUCCCUGUUUCUAAAAACACCCAAUCUCAUAUUAAUAAUAAUAAAAUAUAGCUAAAAAAGAAACCAAACAACUUCUAAAAUAGAUACUUCUAAGAAAAUGGAUGCACCAAUUACUGCAGAUAUACACCAUGUGCAAUACCAUCACAUCAAGGCCAUCACUGCAGCUGCUCUAUUCUCCACUAUGACAUACCUGAGAUUUGUGAAACAUCUGCAAGUUAAUUGCUUUCACUUCUUCUAACUGUUGGCGAAGCGCAACCAAGGUAUCUUGUUUCUCAUGAGUAUCUUUUUCCAGAAGUUUCAUGGCUAUUUCCAUUUCUGUUUUCAUUCCAAUCUGUAGCUCCAACUCUUUCUCUAGUUCCAGCCUAAUUUUUUUUUCUUCUUUCAACUGCUUCCAGACAUCACUGUACAUUUCAUCCAGACCCUGCCGGGAUUGCCGGUAAGUAUCCAGUUCUACUUUUGUAUCCUCUUUUGUUACCUCAACACUUUUUUCACUUCGUUCACGAAUUAAUUCAUUUUGUUGUUUUAACUGCUGCUGCUCUUCCUGAAGUGAUCCAAUUCGGUCAGUUGCUGCUGCAAGCUCUUCCUGCAGCUUUGAGUUGGUCUUUUCUAAGCAGUCUAUUUUGUUCUGAAGAUCUGUGACUGUGCAACUGCAUCAAGAAAAAAAAUAAUGCAUGAAAACAAUACAAGUGCCGAUGUUCAAUAUUUAUUCCUGUUUACAAUCAUAUUUUUAUCAUCUGUUAUUUGCUAACAAUGAAAUAUUUCAUUAUGACAGCUGUUUUGGCUUAGCUUUUAGUCUUAACACCUUUGCAGAAGAUAAGUAAAGCCAGCUACUAGUACUGAGCAGCUACAUAAGAACACAUCACCAUCUAAGGGAUGAACUUUGAGAUGUUUCUUCAAGAGAAAACUGUCAUAAAUCCAUCUCCAAAAUCCUCUGUUGACUAUUAGCAAGUUUCUGAAUAGUCAACUAUUAAUACAGAACUUAUUUUCUGCUAGUAUCUGCCAUGAGAAGAGUAAGAUUACAAAAUGAAACUAAGCUUUCGGCAAAGAAUCAGAAAAGAUAGCUCAUCAGUCAAAAGUCUGCAAGAAUGACAGCAAAGACAUUUAAAGCUGAAAGGAAAAGUGACUGCUUGUGCGUUAGAACAGGAGAAAGUCCUACCUUAGAUGCCUGUUCAGUUCUUCUACAUAAUGCUUCUGAUCAAGGACAGCAGUAAUGUCUCCAUCUCUAAUUGUAAAGCAAGAAAUUACUGACUGAGAAGAAACUUCUCUUCAUUUGAAAGUGAUAAUUUGUAUGACGGUUUUCAGCAUGGACUUGCAAAUCUUUUUUUGUUAUAGAAAUAUUUGUGUUUGAGCAAGGUCAGGAAGCAGUACCAUCAUCACUUAACACUUACAGUAAAAAUACUUCUCCCUAAUUGAUAUCACCCACAGAAACAGCUCCUUAACUGAGCAUAUUACUGAAACAGUGCUUAGAAAUCGAGCAGUGACUUAAUGGAAGCACCCUGGCAGAUUGUGUCUCCUGAAAAUGUCCACACUUUGAGUGUUAUUAAUUUGGUGCUGGCUCAAGACAGACUCCACACCACAUUGUUAAAGUUGCCAUGGGAUCAACUAGUGCUGCACUUUUGUUUAGCUAGUAAGUCUAUUUAGGAUUCUCUUUUUUCAGCUAAUAAGUGAGUUUGCUAUCUCUAGCACUGAUGUGCUCCUACAGGUCGUCUGAUGGGCUUCUUCUUAAAAAAUAACAACAACAAACAACAAAACCCAAACAAUUUCACUAAUUCACAAUACAUACUGUUUGCCAUCACUGUCUUGUGUUUCCUUAAGGUACAAAGAAAAAUCAAUCACUCCAACCUGAAAAACAUAUUUAAGAAAUUAACAUGCUUUCACAACGCAAUUCUGAGUAGCAGAAGGCAUUUCUUUAUAUUUGGAAAAAAAGGUAAAAAUCUAGAAGUUCAGAUUUGGAAAGACAGAUAAGGCCUAUAUCCUUCACAACCAAAGCAAAUUUCCAAACCAGUAUUUGUCAACAUCAAAGCAACCAUAUUCAGUGCAGCUUCCCUGAAGUUAUUAUUUUUGGACAGCAUUUCCAUAAACUGCUACUGAAGGAGAUGGAUACUUUCAUACUUGUCAGUGUGGAAACAUGACAAGCUGCUAUAUGGGACAUUCCUGCCACUCUCUCCCCCCCACCCUAAGGAAAAACACCACUCACCCUCAAAACAAAAGACCCCAUAAGUCCUUAGCAGACUGAUUGUGACAUCUCAUGUAUUUUGCUCAGUUCAUCUAAUGUUUUGUUUCUUAUACAAGGAAUUCAAACGUCCACUUACAAAAGCAAUAACAAUCCUAUCUACAUAACAGAUUUAGGAAUUCUAGGUUCAUCUCUGUAAAGUAUUUAUUGAAGUGCUUAAUUCAACUCAAUUAUUUUAAGGACUGAUCAUAUUUAAACUUAAUCUUCACCUGGGAAUCCAAGUCUUCUCCUUUCAAGCAAAGGUUGGCAUCAAUAACAUUCAGUCCAACUAAGAGACCCACAAUGACUGCUCCCUCCUCCUCCAUCAUCAACGCAUCAGGUUCAUAAAAUUCACUAGAAGAAAUAAGAUAAGGCAUCAUUGAACAUCAUAAUCACAACAGUACCUCAAUCACUAAAAUAAUUUAAACAGUAAUGUUGUGCUUAUGAAGCUCAGCUGAUCAGCCUCUCCCUGCUAACAUAUUGCACGAGGCAGAAGAUGCAAAACACUCACAGAAAAUUCUCCUGACAAUAAGUUCACUGCAAGAACAAUGAACAACUUAUUCCCUUGCAGAUUGCAAGAACAAGCUCAAAGUUAAAUGGGUCACUUAAUGACAUUUUUCUACAGCAAUGCAAGGAUUCAGUGAAUGCAAGGUAUUGGUGUUGUUACCUUAAUAGAUGUUUAUGGUCCAAAAGCACUUUAAGAUAAUCCGCCAGCUUCUUUUGCAUGAGUGCCAGAUAAAGCCAAGCCCUUCCUCUUCCUACAGCAGUCCUAAAAUGCAACAUUAUGGUUUUGGUAAAGCCAAAAUGUUUAAGUAGAUCUGUGCAAUUGAAAAUUCUCUCUCUACAAAGGGAGAUGAAGGCACUUAUUUACUAAAUUAAAUCCCAAAGGAAACAGUUUUGUGGCCAGAGCAAGAGAAGCAUUUGAUUACAUUCUGUUGUUCCAGUGUCAGAAAAGUAUAUUGUAAAAUCUUCGUAAGUCAGAAAGCCCUACGUAUUUUUAGCUAACACCAGAACCCAACCGUUCAUACAUUUUGGGAAUAAAACUAGUCUCUUCGUUAUCCUGAGGCUUCAAAUGAAAUGCACAUACACACAAAGUUAGACAAAGCCAUAAAAGUGAUGGGAACAAGGGGAAAGAACACACCUGUGAAGAUCCUACAGUCAUUCUGAGCAAGCUUACAGAAAUUUUGCAAUGCUGUUUUUGAAUGUGACUGCACUAUGUGAAACAGAAGAGCGGAAUAUUAUGAGACAGUCUCCUUAUCUCUGGGAGCACUCAAUGCCUCCUACGUACUCUGUUUUUCUCUUUGGAAUGAGAUCUCAUUAAUGAAGCUAAGAAACCACCCAAAGGAUUGUAUUUCCCAGCAGAGUAAGUGAAACACACGAUUCCCAACAAGGAACUUACUUCAGCUCUGGUAGAUUUUUGACACUAGUUGCUAUAUCUGAUGCUUCAGGACACAGCUUUUCCACCAGCUCCAGAGGACCAAAGAAUGAUUUGUUCUGUCCAAUAAAGGUCUUCUUCGCUACAGGGAGCACACAGAGAUGUUUGCGAUGAGAACUGACAGCCUCCCACUUCCC